UAAGUAAGUGGUGGAAAUUAAACCAAAUGGGAUAUCUUUAGUAACUGCGAAUGAACAAGGAUAUGCUUAGCUUGACAAAUGGAGCUAUUGGCUUUGAAUUGUAUUGUGGAAAUGUAUUACCAACAGAGGUGCAGGUGCCAGCCCAUUGAAAUAAAGCGUCAAUGAGGGUGAGAAUCCUGUUUGUCAUGUGCAGCCCUUUGUGCACGGUGUAUAUCUGCUGCGUCACACUCCUUGGCAUUGGAAUGCAAAGUGGGUGGUAAGUUUCAUGUAAAGGUAAACAUGCAAUUGAGACUGAUAGCACACAAGUACCAUGAGGGAAAUAUGAAAAGGACUUUGAAAAGAGAAUUAAAUGAGUUUGUAUUUGCUGAACACAAAGUAAACAGACUUGAUUUGCUUGGUGGGAGUGUUGCACUUGCUUGACAAGAGCUUUGGGCUGUGGGUGUAAUGAUUCUUUCUUUGCAUGCCAGUUUCUAUUUGUACAUCUGAUUACCUUUGCACAUGAAUGAUAAGUCUCCUGUGGGGGGUGGAUUGCAUGUGCAUGUAAUGAUUUGUGUUUUGAUAAAUGUGUCUGGUGUAUGUGUGUGUUCCUGUGCUUGGGGAUGCUUCCUUCCUUGGACUUACAAGCCCUGACACACACAUGCUGGCAAAAUGCUUCUGCUUGACCCG
rnacentral:rRNA from 1 species